UGGAGGCAGCAGUGGGGAAUCUUGCGCAAUGGCCGAAAGGCUGACGCAGCGACGCCGCGUGUGGGAGGACGCCCUUCGGGGUGUAAACCACUGUUGCCCGGGACGAACAAGCUCUUUCGAGAGCUCUGACGGUACCGGGUGAGGAAGCACCGGCUAACUCCGUGCCAGCAGCCGCGGUAAUACGGAGGGUGCGAGCGUUGUCCGGAAUCACUGGGCGUAAAGGGCGCGUAGGCGGCCGGAGCAGUCUGUGGUGAAAGCUCGGGGCUCAACCCUGAGUCGGCCACGGAUACUCUUCGGCUGGAGCACUGUAGAGGCAGAUGGAAUUCCGGGUGUAGCGGUGGAAUGCGUAGAGAUCCGGAAGAACACCGGUGGCGAAGGCGGUCUGCUGGGCAGUUGCUGACGCUGAGGCGCGACAGCGUGGGGAGCAAACAGGAUUAGAUACCCUGGU
rnacentral:rRNA from 1 species